UAGGGAAUCUUCGGCAAUGGACGAAAGUCUGACCGAGCAACGCCGCGUGAGUGAAGAAGGUUUUCGGAUCGUAAAACUCUGUUGUUAGAGAAGAACAAGGACGUUAGUAACUGAACGUCCCCUGACGGUAUCUAACCAGAAAGCCACGGCUAACUACGUGCCAGCAGCCGCGGUAAUACGUAGGUGGCAAGCGUUGUCCGGAUUUAUUGGGCGUAAAGCGAGCGCAGGCGGUUUCUUAAGUCAGAUGUGAAAGCCCCCGGCUCAACAGGGGAGGGUCAUUGGAAACUGGGAGACUUGAGGGCAGAAGAGGAGAGUGGAAUUCCAGGUGUAGCGGUGAAAUGCGUAGAUAUAUGGAGGAAAACCAGUGGCGAAGGCGGCUCUCUGGUCUGUAACUGACGAUGAGGCUCGAAAGCGUGGGGAGCAAACAGG
rnacentral:rRNA from 1 species